rnacentral:lncRNA from 1 species
UUUAUAAAUAUUACCCACAACUAUAACAUUAUCUCAAAUUCACACCAUAAUAUAAAAAAAAUUAUUUCGAGAAAAUUAAUUCUUUAUUCAUAAAAUCUGGGGUUUCACAACUACAGUCACCUCUGGCUGAUCGAUAAACGUAUCCCAACCUCAUUCAUUGAUCUGAUGUCCCAUCUCACCAUCAAAUUCGUCUGGCCUAAGUCCACGCUCUGGAAUAAGUGCCUUAUUUGCCAAAUAGUUAAAUCGGUAUGCGACGGUUGCACUUAUGAACUUUCUACGGUCAAACUGCCUAGUUGGGGGAGAAAAACCCUCACCCUUUGUCUUUUUGAUGCUUUCGGUGCCAUAAAACUUGACUUCAAUAUCAAUCUUUCCACUGUCCAAUAUGUGGUUUGCUCCCACUGCACACCUAAGUUCAAUAUACCAAACUGCCAACGAACCGUUCCAACCAAUUUGUCUUUGAAGUAUUCUGUCAAACACCUUGUAUGCUAUCUCAAUUUAAUCUUCAAAUACCUCCUACUCAUUUCAAUGACAAUGUGAUUGAAGUUUAGAACAUAUUACAACAAAAAUCAACCCACACAAUUCCAAUUGCUUCAAUAUCAACCAAAUUGUCCCACAAAGUACCUUCAAUUUAGCAACACACUAGCCUAUUGCAAAUUCAACUAAUCAAACUAUCAUACCUUACUCAUUGUCGAAUCUGACUGCCAGUGGAGUAUAAAAAUUGGGGUAGAAGGUGAGAUUAAGUACCACUUUGCUGAGAACCUUAUUUUGCAUUAAUCUGAAUCAAAACCACAUGCAACUGUAUCCAAUCUGACUCUGUAGGCAAUUUCCCCAAUUUAACUGUGAAACACUAUAAGGUGGGAUGAAAUUUGUUAAUGGUUUGAAUUAGUUCGAGUAGGGGUACGAAUUGGGGUUGAGUUACUGGUGAAUGUCGUUCGAGAAGAAAAUGCCAGUGUUUAGGGCUUGUGGGGUGAGUUUAGAAUAGAAAGGACUGAUGUUCGAUCGAGGCUAGAAGGGGUUUCUUUUUUAGAAACUGACUUUCGUAAAACCCGCAGGGGCGACACAUUUUUGUUUGUGAAAGCCUGCCGGGGCGGCAUCUAACAGAGGGCUUGGCGAUGGGGCGCAUUCCAGGCUCGUUGGGGCGGGCAUACAACAGAGGGUUUACCGCUGGGGCAGGAUUAUUAAACUUACCGAGGCCUGUCGGGGCAGGCAAAGUAGUUUCUACACAAAAAAAUUUCCUCUGUUCUCAACGCGUUCUAUCUUGGAUCAAUAAACUUUAGCAUGAUUCCUCUUUGUGAUUCACCUCUUCAACACCUAUAAUGAUAACAUUAAACGGAGAUCAGAGUAAGAAUUAUAGAGAGAGAAUGAGCAGAAUAACUAACUAUUCAUCAACUAUCUACUAAACGACCUAUUGAAAAACUUGAAUCUAACUACUGAAACAAAAAUAAUGAUUAGGUUGCCUCUCAACAAGCGGAUGGUUUUGAGUCUUUCAGCCUUAAUACUCCCUAUUUUCAAUCUAGAUUAGCCGGGAUAUUUUGGGUAUUUUCUUUAUUUACUGCACAUAACCAACAAUAUUUUUGUGACGCCCCCAAAAUAGGUAUA